GGGCCAGUGGCGCAAUGGAUAACGCGUCUGACUACGGAUCAGAAUACUCUAAGUUCGACUCCUGGCUGGCUCG
rfam:Myotis davidii contig72890, whole genome shotgun sequence.